GUCAGAGAAGACAGUAUUGUGUCAAAAUGGAUGACACUGGAGCUGGAGUUCCAAGAUGUGGAAACUCUACCAGUGUGGCUGCCUACCUGCCCUAAGACCCUAUCCCAUGCCGCCUCUGCUGGACCUGCUGAUGUUCAGCCUGGAUGUCGUCUGUCCUCAGCUGGGGUCCCACCUUCCCAGCCGGGGUCCCUAAUGACCAGAAGCCCUGCAUGUCUCCCUGGAGAAGACUCCUGUGCUCUUGUGCUCCUGCCAGAAUAAAGACUUUGCAGACAUGAAUGGAAGGAGCCCAGGAAGCACUGCAGUGUCGAGUGAUGGACUUAGAACUGUGAGGUCUCCAGUUCUUUCUCCAGCAUCAGAUGUCCCAGAGUCUGUCUGUCUGUCUGUCUGUCUGUCUCUCUCUCUCCCUCCUCUCCCUCCCUCCCUCUCCCUCUCUUUCUCCCUCUCCCCUCCCCUCUCUCCCUCC